ACGACCGUACCGCAAACCGACACUGGUGCGCGAGAUGAGUAUUCUAAGGCGCUUGAGAGAACUCAGGAGAAGGAACUCGGCAAAUUGACACCGUAACUUCGGAAGAAGGUGUGCCUUUAGUAGGUGAACCUGUACAAGGGGAGCCCAAUGAGGUUGCAAAAAAUCGGUGGCUGCGACUGUUUAAUAAAAACACAGCACUCUGCAAACACGAAAGUGGACGUAUAGGGUGUGACGCCUGCCCGGUGCUGGAAGAUUAAAUGAUGGGGUGCAAGCUCUUGAUUGAAGUCCCAGUAAACGGCGGCCGUAACAAUAACGGUCCUAAGGUAGCGAAAUUCCUUGUCGGGUAAGUUCCGACCUGCACGAAUGGCGUAACGAUGGCCACACUGUCUCCUCCUGAGACUCAGCGAAGUUGAAAUGUUUGUGAUGAUGCAAUCUCCCCGCGGAAAGACGGAAAGACCCCAUGAACCUUUACUGUAGCUUUGUAUUGGACUUUGAACAGAUCUGUGUAGGAUAGGUGGGAGGCUUUGAAGUGUGGUCGCUAGAUCGCAUGGAGCCAACGUUGAAAUACCACCCUGGUGUGUUUGAGGUUCUAACCUAGGCCCGUAAUCCGGGUCGGGGACAGUGCAUGGUAGGCAGUUUGACUGGGGCGGUCUCCUCCCAAAGCGUAACGGAGGAGUUCGAAGGUACGCUAGGUACGGUCGGACAUCGUGCUAAUAGUGCAAUGGCAUAAGCGUGCUUAACUGCGAGACUGACAAGUCGAGCAGAUGCGAAAGCAGGACAUAGUGAUCCGGUGGUUCUGUAUGGAAGGGCCAUCGCUCAACGGAUAAAAGGUACUCUGGGGAUAACAGGCUGAUACCGCCCAAGAGUUCAUAUCGACGGCGGUGUUUGGCACCUCGAUGUCGGCUCAUCUCAUCCUGGGGCUGUAGCCGGUCCCAAGGGUAUGGCUGUUCGCCAUUUAAAGAGGUACGUGAGCUGGGUUUAAAACGUCGUGAGACAGUUUGGUCCCUAUCUUCCGUGGGCGCUGCAGAUUUGAGGAAGCCUGCUCCUAGUACGAGAGGACCGGAGUGGACACACCUCUGGUGUAUCGGUUGUCACGCCAGUGGCAUUGCCGAGUAGCUAUGUGUGGAAGAGAUAACCGCUGAAAGCAUCUAAGCGGGAAACUCGUUUCAAGAUGAGAUCUGCCGGGGCCUUGAGCCCCCUAAAGAGUCGUUCAAGACCAGGACGUUGAUAGGUCGGGUGUGGAAGCGCAGUAAUGCGUUAAGCUAACCGAUACUAAUUGCUCGUGCGGCUUGACC
rnacentral:rRNA from 1 species